UCCACCCCCCGGUCUCGGUGUCUCUCCCGAUUCAUCGCACUCGCAUCUUCUCUCAAAGCUCCGGCCUAGGGUUUCUGGCCGCCGCCUAUCUCCGGCCGCCAGCCUGCGCAGCCGCGCGUCCUUUUGUUGACUCCCUCGGCCUCAAGUCGACCACUACACACAUGGGUUGGGAAAGUGCUGCUCCAGGCGGGGGGGUCAUGGGCCUAAGAUGGCACCGUGCAGAGGAAGAACCGACGGUUGCAGCGUGGCCUCUCCCCGUGCCGCCGCCGUGGAGGAAGGGGAUUCCGCCAUCUUGGAGGACAGGAAGAUACCCUGCGCCGCUGCAGCGGAGAGGGACCGAGGGAGCAGGCCGGACGGUCAGCAGGGCGGAUAAUCGCCGGCGUCGGAAGGGACGGCGACCAUGCCGCCGGGGAGGAUGCCCAGCAGCAGCGGAAGAGAGGAAGACCGCGCCUCCACCAUGCUGAUGACAUCUGGUACAGCUUGAUUCCAGAUGCCCACUGAGAUGUGGCAUUUCUAUGCUUCCCUAGGCCGAUUCCCACACCGGUUCCCAGCCGAUUCCCGCACCUACAGCCCGCCAUGGACGGAGCCGUCCCCAGCGCACCGACUAGGGAACAGUGACCAGUUGGGCUCGGCGCAAGCUGCAGGGCGGCUCCACCACUGUGGAGAGGCGGCUGCUCCAUCCGUCCAUCCUCUCCUGCGGCGAAUUCCUCGAGAUGAUUAAUGUUCCGCUAAGACAUCUUCCUCAUGGUCCAGUUCUGCAUGACCGCCCUAUGCUUUUACAGCAGCAGAACAUUGGCAAUGAUAAAAUCACACUGAUGCCUUCUCUUCAAUGGCAUGUGGCCUGGCCAGGUCGCCCAAAAGAUGCAGAUGAGGAGGUCCUGUUCUUUAGAGAUAUAUGAAUGGGUUAAAUUGGGUAAGUCACAAGUUGUUUAGUUACUUGGAUCCCUAGGAUGCAUGAGGUAUGUUCUGUUAUAGAUCAAGAAUCCUAAUGGUAGAAAAUUGUGAGCUGGGCACUGAGAUUUAAAGAUUGUUGCAGAGAAACCAUCAUUCAUUGCUACCAAUGGUUACUUGAAUUUGCAUACCUAAUAAUUAUAUUUCUAACUUGCGCAAUCAGAGUUUAAACUGAUUAUAUCUGUUCUGCUGGACAUGAUAGUGGUGCACCUACAGUUGAGACUAUCGUUUUCCUAUGAAGAGUAGUGACAAAAUGCUGAAAGUGCAUGGUGGUCGUGGAGUAGUUUCAAUUCUACUAUAGCUGCACUCCGAGCAAUGUGGUGGCUUUGAUUUUAGUAUGUUUUCCUUACAACAGGCCUGAUAGACUAGGUAGCUAAAAGCUUCACGUGUGUUAUAUACUCUGCUUUGUACAAACUUCCUAGACAUCUAGCGCCAUAUAAUGUUUUAGAACAAUUACAGUAUCCGUUCUUAUUACAUGCUGUUGUUGUGUACCUGGGCAAGAAGUUUGAAAGAGGAUCGCGGUUGUUGCCUUCUAUCUAAUAUUGUUGGUUCAUUUUGCUAAGUCAAACUAAAUGGUAAGUCCCCUGGUUUCUUACUGUUGUAUCUUUUCCAAAAAAGCUUUCAUAACCAUGAUGCUGAUUAAUGGAUGCUUCAUGGGCUGCCACUUAGUAGGCUGCCUUCAAUAAAUAGAGUGGAAUUUAUUCUUCAGACUUAUUAAGAAUAUUCAACAAUAAAUUUUUCAUUCAUUUUUUCAGAGUGCAAAUCACUUAUUCUGAGGACCAACACGUACAUACUAGAUUGAUUUACUCGGAAUAAAUAAACAGGCGCAGCACCUUACAUAACAUGAAGUGAUGGUCCAAGUCUUUUCUCACACUUAUGGAGAUUAUUAUAAAAAAACUUAUAUAUGUUGAACAGUUUCAGAUUAGGAGAUUUGGAAGGAGGAGAUGUCUAUCCACAUCUAGCGAUCCUAUGUAUACAAAUUAUCAACUAUAUUCAGUUUUGAGGUAGGAAUCUCUUAGGUUGUGGUUUCAGGUCCUGACUAAAGGUUGAUCUUUGGGAAGUAAUUGUUUCAUACUUGCAUCUUCAUUUUUCUCUGGAGUUGGUCCCAGCUCUCGAAUCAAGCUCUUCGGUGAUCCUCGAAAUUGGAUUUGUUAUUGUAAGGUCCUGUAAUAAUGUUGCUACCUUCAGCAUAUAAGCAACAAAGUAUAUAUAUUUUUCCUUUUACAUAA